rnacentral:misc_RNA from 1 species
AACACUGUUAACCUGCGGUACCUGCGGAGGGAUCAUUAUAGUAUAUGGAAUCUCCAUUCUAUAAACCCACUCUGCGUAUCUUGUAACUGUUGCUUCCAUGGGACUUGGUUCCGCCACACCGGCUUCACGGCUGGUGAGCGCCCAUGGAAGGAGAAACAAAACUCUCCUUUGAAAUGUAGUCAGUCUGAACAAGUUUUUAUAAACGUUAAAACUUUCAGCAACGGAUCUCAGAUCGGAAGA